rnacentral:rRNA from 1 species
GUGGGGAAUAUUGGACAAUGGGCGCAAGCCUGAUCCAGCCAUACCGCGUGGGUGAAGAAGGCCUUCGGGUUGUAAAGCCCUUUUGUUGGGAAAGAAAUCCUGUCGGUUAAUACCUGGCGGGGAUGACGGUACCCAAAGAAUAAGCACCGGCUAACUUCGUGCCAGCAGCCGCGGUAAUACGAAGGGUGCAAGCGUUACUCGGAAUUACUGGGCGUAAAGCGUGCGUAGGUGGUGGUUUAAGUCCGUUGUGAAAGCCCUGGGGUCAACCUGGGAAUUGCAGUGGAUACUGGAUCACUAGAGUGUGGUAGAGGGAUGCGGAAUUUCUGGUGUAGCAGUGAAAUGCGUAGAGAUCAGAAGGAACAUCCGUGGCGAAGGCGGCAUCCUGGGCCAACACUGACACUAAGGCACGAAAGCGUGGGGAGCAAACAGGAUUAGAUACCCCUGUAGUCC